ACUUCCGGGAGCCUGGGGCCCAGGACUGCAGCGGCUUCGGAAGGUGGGCUCUGCCAGCGGGACCAUGCUGCUCCGAGCCGCUUGGAGGCGGGCGGCAGUGGCGGUGACAGCGGCUCCAGGGCCGAAGCCCGCGGCGCCCACUCGGGGGCUGCGCCUGCGCGUUGGAGACCGUGCUCCUCAGUCUGCGGUUCCCGCAGAUACAGCCGCUGCCCCGGAGGUGGGGCCAGUGCUGCGACCUCUCUAUAUGGAUGUGCAAGCUACAACUCCUCUGGACCCCCGGGUGCUUGAUGCCAUGCUCCCUUACCUAAUCAACUACUAUGGGAACCCACACUCCCGGACACAUGCUUAUGGCUGGGAGAGUGAGGCAGCCAUGGAACGUGCUCGUCAGCAAGUAGCAUCUCUGAUUGGAGCUGAUCCUCGUGAGAUCAUUUUUACUAGUGGUGCUACUGAAUCCAACAACAUAGCAAUUAAGAUGGAGUCUCACCCUGUCGCCCAGGCUAGAGUGUAGGGGCAUGAUCUCGGCUCACUGCAACCUCUGCCUCCCAGGUUCAAGCGAUUCUCCUGCCUCAUCCUCCUGAGUAGCCGGGAUUACAGGGGGUGGCCCGAUUCUACAGGUCACGGAAAAAGCACUUGAUCACCACCCAGACAGAACACAAAUGUGUCUUGGACUCCUGCCGUUCACUGGAAGCUGAGGGCUUUCAGGUCACCUACCUCCCAGUGCAGAAGAGUGGGAUCAUUGACCUAAAGGAACUAGAGGCUGCUAUCCAGCCAGAUACUAGCCUGGUGUCAGUCAUGACUGUGAACAAUGAGAUUGGAGUGAAGCAGCCUAUUGCAGAAAUAGGGCGGAUUUGCAGUUCCAGAAAGGUAUAUUUCCAUACUGAUGCAGCCCAGGCUGUUGGAAAAAUCCCACUUGAUGUCAAUGACAUGAAAAUUGAUCUCAUGAGCAUUAGUGGUCACAAAAUCUACGGUCCCAAAGGGGUUGGUGCCAUCUACAUCCGUCGCCGGCCCCGUGUGCGUGUGGAGGCCCUGCAGAGUGGAGGGGGGCAGGAGCGGGGUAUGCGGUCUGGGACAGUGCCCACACCCUUAGUGGUGGGGCUGGGGGCUGCGUGUGAGGUGGCACAGCAAGAGAUGGAGUAUGACCACAAGCGAAUCUCAAAGUUGUCAGAGCGGCUGAUACAGAAUAUAAUGAAGAGCCUUCCAGAUGUGGUGAUGAAUGGGGACCCUAAGCACCAUUAUCCCGGCUGUAUCAACCUCUCCUUUGCAUAUGUGGAAGGGGAAAGUCUGCUGAUGGCACUGAAGGACGUUGCCUUAUCCUCAGGGAGUGCCUGCACCUCUGCAUCCCUGGAGCCCUCUUAUGUGCUUAGAGCAAUUGGCACUGAUGAGGAUUUAGCGCACUCUUCUAUCAGGUUUGGAAUUGGCCGCUUCACUACAGAGGAGGAAGUGGACUACACAGUGGAGAAAUGCAUUCAGCAUGUGAAGCGUCUUCGAGAAAUGAGCCCUCUCUGGGAGAUGGUUCAGGAUGGCAUUGACCUCAAGAGCAUCAAGUGGACCCAACACUAGAAGAAUAGGGCCCUGACUUUGUGCUGGUCUGGCCCCUCCUGCCUCACCAACCCGUGCACAACCAGACACCUUGUUACACCUAGUGGAUGCUCUAGAUUGGUAUAGACCAGUUGACUUCAGCAUCAGUCCACCUCUAUGACAGAAACACAAGAAAACUGUCUUUCCCUAGCUUCAGUUCCUUGGGUGUGGAGCACUCCCCAUUUCUUCUCGGGUCUUAAAGUGUGUGGACAUUUUCAUCCCGAAGCCAUAGAGACAUUUGCUGUCAUAUUGCUGCUGGGCACAUCUGUGCUCUUGGUGAGGAGAGCAAGAGGAACCAGAAGAAGUCUCUUUGGUCAGGGACCAUGAUGCUCUACAUGGACAUUUGAGUCUUCGUCUUCUGCUGCUGCUCGGCUGGACCAGCUUCUUUAACAGCAAGCAUAAUCCACUUCAAUGUAAUAUUUUCUGUAGCUCCAAAGGCUAUCUCUUCAUAUUGACUGCAGACAGACUGAAUGGACAGUUUCUUAGAGGGCUUGUCUCCUUUCUACCCUUGUCCUCUUUCCUUUCCUUUGACCUAAUGGAGCUAGAAAUAUGUCUGUGACUCCACCAGUUAUUCUAAUAAUUUGUUUUCUUGAAAAUUGUUAAUUUCAAGACUGGAGAAAUAAACUCACCUUCUAUUUACUCUGUGACUUUAUGAGAGGUUGAGGGAAAAGUGGAAGCUGUACUUGGGAAUUGUGGAGAAGACCGCCACUCCAUCUGAUUUGCAUAAAUGACUCAGUGGGCUUUUGUAUCUCUUCAUUUAAGAAUUAUUUGAAUGCCUGCCAGGAGCCAGAUUUGUUCUGGGUAUUAGGAAUACACUGGUUAACAGGACCAAAAAAGACCCUGCCCUCACUGAGUUUUAAAUUUUAGUGGAGAGAUGGAAAAUAAUUAAACAAAUAAACAAUGUUAUAGAUUGUGAUAAGUGCUAUGAAAGAAUUAAGUGGUAAGAGGACAUAGCAGGGAAAACCUACCAUGCUGGGUGUUUGAGGAAAGUUUUUCUGAGGAGGUAGUGCUUAUAAAUAUGAAGAGCUCGCUAAUCUAGAAAUGAGAGGUGAGAAGGAAUGGCAAGAGCUAAGGGCCUGAAGUGUGAUAAAGCACAAAGUAUUAUACUUUAGAAACCAAGAGAAGGCCAUUGUAACUAGAGCUUUUCAUUUGUGGGUCUGAACCCAUAGGUGGGUAGUUACCAGUACUUAAAAAAGGAGAUAGUAUGUUAGAGUACAUUUAUGCAUAUUUUAAGAAUAUAUUUUGAUGAUAUAUUUGAAUUUGUAUACCAGGUUAUAAAUGUAUUUCUUAUUGUGGAUAAUGGUCAAAAAAGUUUAAUUGCUUUUCAUACUUGCCAGUAGCAGGGGGACAGGAAAGUUUGAAAGCCACUGGGCUAAAGUUUGGUAAAUGUAGAUGGACAGUGGAAGGAGGAGAUGAAAUUAUAGAAUUUUUCUUGUUGAAAAAUAUCUUUUUUACUUAGAAUAAUUUUAGAUUUACUGAAAAGUUGCAAAGAUAGUAGAGUUGUAGAUCUAUUACCAGUUUUCCUCUAAUUAAAAAGUCUUACAUAAAACUA